CAGCCGCCGCGGGAAAACGUAGGGUGCAAGCGUUAAUCGGAAUUACUGGGCGUAAAGCGUGCGCAGGCGGUUAUAUAAGACAGAUGUGAAAUCCCCGGGCUCAACCUGGGAACUGCAUUUGUGACUGUAUAGCUAGAGUACGGCAGAGGGGGAUGGAAUUCCGCGUGUAGCAGUGAAAUGCGUAGAUAUGCGGAGGAACACCGAUGGCGAAGGCAAUCCCCUGGGCCUGUACUGACGCUCAUGCACGAAAGCGUGGGGAGCAAACAGGAUUAGAUACCCGCGUAGUCCCUGUCUCUUAUAC
rnacentral:rRNA from 1 species